UUGUAUUUAUCGCUGUGUGUGCGUGUUAACAUUUGCAUUUGAGCCUUUUGUUAUUUUCGGCAUUGUUUUCGUCUCAUUUUCGCUGUGUGCUCCAAAUUGACGUCGUUUGUUGCAUUCGUUUGUUCGUUCGCUCGCUUUUUAAAUGCAUCUUUCGUUUGGUUCAUUUCGGUUCAGUUCGGAGUGGUUCGCUUACAAAUAAUUACUACUGAGCUGCGCUUAAAUUGCCACUGUGUGUGUUGUUGUAUAAGAAAUGUGCAGCAGCAGCAAAUAAAUUUCACUUCAAGUGCUCGAAAAGUGUUUCAAAAGCAAUAAGAAGAAAAUCAGAUAGAAAGAGAGAAGAAAAACGGCACAAGUUCUGUUUGCCAUGUUAUUAACAUUGUGUUCAUAAUUCCCUUGUAUGUACAAAUACAAAUACAACAACAGCAACAGCAACAACUAUGCAAAUAGAAAGCAACAAAUACAACUACAGUCAGCGGAAUAAUUCAAGCAACUAAACGCAGAAGAGGCAGCUGCUUUAAAGGCCAAACUGUGGAUUGAUAGCACAAGCUAAACACCUACCAAUUACAACAAUUACAACAAUAGCAACAACAACUGAACACUCAGCUAGCCGAAAAUCUCUAGAGGUAAGCAAAAAUCGUUAUAAUCACACG